CAGCCAUCUACAAUGAGAUUUGGUGCCCUCUUCUGGCCUGCAGGCCAAACACUCACUGUAUACAUAAUAAAUAAAUAAAUCUUUAAAAAAAAAAAAAAGAAAGAAAGAAAGGAAAAAGAAAAGAAAACGCCUCCAAAAGAUCUGGCUUUCUCUGGAACAGUGCACGAUGGCCCGAGUACUGAGUGGAUCGGGAAGAAACGGGCCAGUUUGGCCCCAAACUCCCUCUGAACCUCACUGAGCAGCCUGUCCUCACCUCACGUGGUCCUGAUGAAUUCACCUAGCUGAUCCUAACCCAAAGAACACGGAAACAGGCCGGUGAGGUGAGGACUUUGCUGUCACAGAGUUGGUGUCAAGGUGAACCGGCACCCAGGUUUCCUCUGUCCUGGUCUACACUGUAUGAACUCCACGCCUAGGGAGGACUCGUGUAUGAAAUGGUAAAGUGGAGACGUGUGACCCCCGCAGCUGAGGGACCCACUUACUUCCAGUUUCGCGGUUUCACCCGAUGGCUGGUCUUCCAAGGAGAAGCUGAUGCGCACACAGUGCCCACCUACAACAGGGUUGUGAGGGAGACAUUGUUGUUCUUACUUCGCAGAUGAUGCAGUUGAGAGGUUCGUUACAGUCGUCCCAAGUUUGCCCAGCGGGGAAGUGGUAGCAUCAGGACUGGAACCCACAUUUCUUCCACUCUAGAGCUCCUGUGCACAUCACACUUAACAGUUUAUACUUUUCAACUUUCAAAAUGGUGGCCUCAUUUCCUGAUGUUUACGUUUGUAGUUGCAGCCAUUUAAUAAAUACUUCUUAGCAAGCUCAUUGCCGAGCACAGUUGAGAUACUGCCGUGACCAACAAACACAAACCCCUUUUCUGGGGGAGCAGACAGUAGCCCCUAGAACAAGUCCCACGAAGUGAGAGAUGCCACCGAAGGAUGAAACAGAAGAAGGAGCAGGGAAUCCUGGGAUCUGGGGCCAGGGAAAGACAGCGAUUUCACAAAAGGAACCUUUCUAUGGGGCUUGAGAAUGAAGCUCUGAAGGUGCCUGAGAGAACAGGCCGACGGACAUCUGAGAGGAGAGGCUGACGUGAGGAAAGGGUGCAUUUAAAGUCAAGGAAGAAGCAGAGCCGAGUGUACAGGACAGUGGACACAGGAGGCGGAAGUGAUGGAGGCCAGGCCUGUUCUGAGGGAGUAACAUCAGCUCUUCUCCCAAAUGAGACGGGAGUCAGGGAGCAGAAGACAGGUACACUCACACUUCCUAGAGGGUCACUAAGUGUGCUGAGAGUGGGAACAAGAGAAUGCAGGAGCACUAGUUGGGAGCCUGAAAGGCUUC